AGUUGAUUAUGCAAAAGAUUUCUUUGCUCGGCAAGCGUUUUUGACUGUUUCGGGCCAGCUGCAAGUUGAAACUUAUGCAUGUGCACUUAGUAGUGUAUACACAUUUGGACCAACCUUCCGUGCUGAAAACUCUCACACUUCAAGACAUCUUGCAGAGUUCUGGAUGGUUGAGCCUGAAAUUGCUUUUGCAGAUUUGCAGGACGAUAUGAAUUGUGCGGAAGCCUAUGUGAGAUUUAUGUGUCAAUGGUUACUUGACAACUGCCUAG
rnacentral:misc_RNA from 1 species